AUAUUUUCUCGUGUCGAUUGUUGUGUUGAGGCUGGCCUAGUUUCACGAUGAGUCGGAUAUUGGGUCAUGACUAUAACAAUAGGAGAAUUACACCCCUUAGUACUUGGUCCAACAACUCAUCAGAGAAUAACCCAUGUUUGAAGCCCUUACCCAUAGUAUCCCAGUUUUUACAUAACCUGAAAAAUACUUUUCAUCAGUUAUGCCACCCUUUUUUUUCUUCGUUCUUCUU
rnacentral:lncRNA from 1 species